AGUUCUGUGGCUUAGUUGUUUAAUGCGCUGGUCUGGCGAAUUAUGGAGUCGAGGGUUCGAAUCCCACCAGAAUGU
rfam:Aedes albopictus isolate Foshan contig36289, whole genome shotgun sequence.